UGCAGUCGACGCUUUGUGGUUCAACUGAUUUGAAGAGCUUGCUCAGAUAUGACGAUGGACAUUGCAAAGAGUGGCGAACGGGUGAGUAACACGUGGGAAACCUACCUCUUAGCAGGGGAUAACAUUUGGAAACAGAUGCUAAUACCGUAUAACAAUGACAACCGCAUGGUUGUUAUUUAAAAGAUGGUUCUGCUAUCACUAAGAGAUGGUCCCGCGGUGCAUUAGCUAGUUGGUAAGGUAAUGGCUUACCAAGGCGAUGAUGCAUAGCCGAGUUGAGAGACUGAUCGGCCACAAUGGGACUGAGACACGGCCCAUACUCCUACGGGAGGCAGCAGUAGGGAAUCUUCCACAAUGGGCGAAAGCCUGAUGGAGCAACGCCGCGUGUGUGAUGAAGGGUUUCGGCUCGUAAAACACUGUUGUAAGAGAAGAAUGACAUUGAGAGUAACUGUUCAAUGUGUGACGGUAUCUUACCAGAAAGGAACGGCUAAAUACGUGCCAGCAGNCGNCGGU
rnacentral:rRNA from 1 species